GUUUCGUCGCUUCCGCGGAACGCCGGGAAGGGGUCACUUCUAGACGGAGGUUCCGGUUCCGAAGUCGGCGGCAGUGGGUUUCCAUGGCGACGCGGCGGGCAGUGGGGCGAGGGAGGAAUCGGGAGAGGCGGAGGCACUGCGGCUGGCGGGCGCCUCUCUCUCCAGCCCCAGUGAGUGUCCCGGGUGCCCCAGGAAGGCCGCGGCGGGUGCUGCGGGGCUCCGGCCUCAGGCCUGCCCGGGUUCCCGCGGCGGAGCCGGGUGUGCGGGACCUUUCCUCGCACCGCCGCGCACGUGGGCUGCGGCCCGGGCCUCGCGGGGCCCCGGCGCGCGCUGAUUGCUUUGGAACAACUUCUGCUUGUAAAAUGUGUCCAGUGCUUUCACCUGCGUGGCCCCUGCAGUUGGGCUUCGACGGUCUUCCCGCCCAUCUGAGUAGGCGAUCCUGCCUGGGCUGGGACGGCUUGUUGAACGGAGAACUCAGAAAUGAAUGAGUUGCCCCGCGCGAUGGUGGCGCGCUCCAGCGGUCCCCGCGCGCGGGAGGCCUAGGAGGGGAUCGGGUGAACCCAGGAGUUCAAGACCCGGCUGGGCAGCAUUGCGAGACCCCGACCAGCAAAGGAAAAAUCCAUUGACUCCAGAGAAAUCAGAGAAACAAGCAUCAUGAGAAGAAAUAUAUAGAAAAUGCUGUUACGUUGGGGUGACUGUUGUUUCAGAAGUUAGAAGGUGCCCUUAACAAUAGAGAAUGUAUUAAUUUCCUUCCAGAAUCAUCUUUUAUUCAUGCUUAUAUUGGACAAAUAGUUCCUGUAACUCAAAUUAUUAUACUCCAAAGACUUGUGACAAGGUGCCUAGACCACAGUAAGAGAAGCCGGAGUUGGCACUGUGUGCAGCGUGCUGGGAAGUGGAUCCCUUAGCAGAGCCCCCCAUCCUCCAUAAGCACUGAGCCUGCAGCCCCAGGAGUGCCCAUGAAGCUUGUUUUCUUCUGAACGAUCAUUUCAAUGUGUUGCCAAGGUCAUGAACACUCUUCAUAAUGAGUCGGAAUUUUACUUUGUACUUCUACCUAUGAGCCUGAAUAAUCUUGUGACUUCUCUUGGCAAUCCUACGUAUGUUGCACAUUUCCUGGGCCUCUGUAAAUUAAAUCUUGCA